rnacentral:rRNA from 1 species
UACAGGGGGGGGCAAGCGUUUGUUCGGAAUUACUGGGCGUAAAGGGUUCGUAGUGCGCCUAAGUCAGACGUGAAAAUCCCCUCAGCUUAAACUGGGGAACUGCGUCUGAGACUGGAAGGCUUGAAUCCGGGAGAGGGAUGUGGAAUUCCAGGUGUAGCGGUGAAAUGCGUAGAUAUCUGGAGGAACACCGGUGGCGAAGGCGGCAUCCUGGACCGGGUAUUGACGCUGAGGCGCGAAAAGCCCAGGGGGAGCAAAGCGGGGAUUAAGAAACCCCCUGU